AGUGAACGCUGGCGGUAGGCCUAACACAUGCAAGUCGAACGGCAGCACAGUAAGAGCUUGCUCUUACGGGUGGCGAGUGGCGGACGGGUGAGGAAUACACCGGAAUCUACUUUUUCGUGGGGGAUAACGAAUGGAAACUUACGCUAAUACGGCAUACGACCUACGGGUGAAAGCAGGAGAUCUUCGGACCUUGCGCGAUUGCAUGAGCCGAUGUCGGAUUAGCGAGGUGGCGGGGUAAAGGCCCACCAAGGGGGCGAUCCGUAGCCGGUGUGAGAGGAUGAUCACGCACACUGAGACUGGAACACGGUCCAGACUCCUACGGGAGGCAGCGGUGGGGAAUAUUGGACGAUGGGCGCAAGCCUGAUCCAGCCAUACCGCGUGGGUGAAGAAGGCCUUCGGGUUGGAAAGCCCUUUUGUUGUGAAAGAAAAGCAGCAGGUUAAUACCCCGCUGUUCUGACGGUACCCAAAGAAUAAGCACCGGCUAACUUCGUG
rnacentral:rRNA from 1 species